rnacentral:rRNA from 1 species
CCUACGGGAGGCUGCAGUGGGGAAUAUUGGACAAUGGGGGGAACCCUGAUCCAGCCAUGCCGCGUGUGUGAAGAAGGCCCUCGGGUUGUAAAGCACUUUCAGUGAGGAAGAACGCCUGGUGGUUAAUACCCAUCAGGAAAGACAUCACUCACAGAAGAAGCACCGGCUAACUCCGUGCCAGCAGCCGCGGUAAUACGGAGGGUGCGAGCGUUAAUCGGAAUUACUGGGCGUAAAGCGCGCGUAGGUGGCUUGAUAAGCCGGUUGUGAAAGCCCCGGGCUCAACCUGGGAACGGCAUCCGGAACUGUCAAGCUAGAGUGCAGGAGAGGAAGGUCGCAUUCCCGGUGUAGCGGUGAAAUGCGUAGAGAUCGGGAGGAAUACCAGUGGCGAAGGCGGCCUUCUGGACUGACACUGACACUGAGGUGCGAAAGCGUGGGUAGCAAACAGGAUUAGAUACCCUAGUAGUC